UGUAUUGUGUGUUGGUUUUUAUAAUAAUUUUCAUUUAGGUACAUAUUUGAUCCAAUAAUAAACUCAACAUUUAUUGGAUUAUCUUUAGACGCAUGGAUUUGUUUAAAACGAUGGCUUGGUUUCAAAAGUUAUUUAGAUAAAAUUUAUUUGCAAUAAAUAAGAUGAUUGACUGAAAACAGUGAUUACAUAAAAUUAUGUGCUUGUGUUAAAUAAUGGGAAAUGGAUGCAAAAAAUGGAUUACAUUCACCAAGGAUUUACAACAUGAACCAAGUUUAGAUCUAUUUUUGCACAAAGAUGAAAUCAAAUAUCCGUCGUGUUAAAAUGAAAUAGUCCAGCUAUGGUACACAGUUGGUGUAAAUAAUAUGUUUAUGAGUGGCGAUUAAUAGCAUACAUUUUAUCGACCAAAACCUCCAAGGCCUCCAAGACCACCAAGACCACCUCCAUAUCCGACUCCAGCCCCAGCAAAUUUACCAAAUCCACCAUAACCACCCCUGAAAUGUACGAAAAUAAUUGAUUAAAUGAUUGAUCGGAGCUCUGAAAUAGAUUAAUGUUUAACUUACCAGAAUGGGAUACAUGGAUGAAGAAUAACAAUUUUCUCCUUGAUUUUAGAGCCUUCCAGGAAUUCAUGGAUCACCAAUGUGAUCAACAAGGUGACAAUUGAAUUGAUGAGCAUAUCUAACUUCAUAUUUCAAACGAUAAUAAAUAACUUGAUUAUCUCA